rnacentral:rRNA from 1 species
AGUAAUGCAUAGGAAUCUGCCCGAUAGUGGGGGAUAACCUGGGGAAACCCAGGCUAAUACCGCAUACGUCCUACGGGAGAAAGGGGGCUCCGGCUCCCGCUAUGGGAUGAGCCUAUGUCGGAUUAGCUAGUUGGUGAGGUAACGGCUCACCAAGGCCACGAUCCGUAGCUGGUCUGAGAGGAUGAUCAGCCACAUCGGGACUGAGACACGGCCCGAACUCCUACGGGAGGCAGCAGUGGGGAAUAUUGGACAAUGGGGGAAACCCUGAUCCAGCCAUGCCGCGUGUGUGAAGAAGGCCCUCGGGUUGUAAAGCACUUUCAGCGAGGAAGAACGCCUAGCGGUUAAUACCCGCUAGGAAAGACAUC